UACGUAGGUGGCGAGCGUUGUCCGGAUUUACUGGGCGUAAAGAGCGCGCAGGCGGUCGUUCAAGUCGCGUGUGAAAGCCCCCGGCUCAACUGGGGAGGGUCACGCGAUACUGAUCGACUCGAAGGCAGGAGAGGGAAGUGGAAUUCCCGGUGUAGUGGUGAAAUGCGUAGAUAUCGGGAGGAACACCAGUGGCGAAGGCGGCUCACUGGACUGGUAUUGACGCUGAGGUGCGAAAGCGUGGGGAGCAAACAGG
rnacentral:rRNA from 1 species